rnacentral:rRNA from 1 species
GACGAACGCUGGCGGCGUGCUUAACACAUGCAAGUCGAACGGAAAGGCCCUGCUUUUGUUGGGUGCUCGAGUGGCGAACGGGUGAGUAACACGUGAGUAACCUGCCCUUGACUUUGGGAUAACUUCAGGAAACUGGGGCUAAUACCGGAUAGGAGCUCCUGCUGCAUGGUGGGGGUUGGAAAGUUUCGGCGGUUGGGGAUGGACUCGCGGCUUAUCAGCUUGUUGGUGGGGUAGUGGCUUACCAAGGCUUUGACGGGUAGCCGGCCUGAGAGGGUGACCGGCCACAUUGGGACUGAGAUACGGACCAGACGCCUACGGGAGGCAGCAGUGGGGAAUAUUGCACAAUGGGCGGAAGCCUGAUGCAGCAACGCCGCGUGCGGGAUGACGGCCUUCGGGUUGUAAACCGAUUUCGCCUGUGACGAAGCGUGAGUGACGGUAAUGGGUAAAGAAGCACCGGCUAACUACGUG